UACCGGGUGGCGACCGGCGCACGGGUGAGUAACACGUAUCCAACCUGCCGAUGACUCGGGGAUAGCCUUUCGAAAGAAAGAUUAAUACCCGAUGGCAUAGUUCUUCCGCAUGGUGGAACUAUUAAAGAAUUUCGGUCAUCGAUGGGGAUGCGUUCCAUUAGGUUGUUGGCGGGGUAACGGCCCACCAAGCCUUCGAUGGAUAGGGGUUCUGAGAGGAAGGUCCCCCACAUUGGAACUGAGACACGGUCCAA
rnacentral:rRNA from 1 species